rnacentral:lncRNA from 1 species
UGCAGAUCGUGCUCUUCUGGCAAGAGCCUCUCGGACGACCCCUCCCACUGACGCUGCCAUCUUUUUUUAUCAUGUUUUCACUGCGUGCUUAGCGUCAGAGAGCCUGAUCGCGAUGGGCCGGUAUAGGGGACGACUUUCGCCGCCUUGUCCGCACGUUCGUUACCCUCCAGGCCGUCGUGCCCCGGAAUCCAGACAACAACCACCGUUUUUCAGAGAGGCUCCAGCUCCGCGUAUCUCUUCCAAGAGCAGGACGAGAGGGUCUACAGAGAACCUGUCUCAUAUAGCCCAAACAGUGCUCAGUGAGUCGCGCUCAUCAUCAAUUGGAAGAAAUUGCGAACAUGACAGUUGGUAUUACUUACAAGAGUGAACCCGCCGAUCCACCGCCAACGCGAUGUUGCAAUGAGAAGCUGGUUUUUGGUACCGUCAUAAGCGAGUCAUAACCGUCUUGGCCUUCUUUCAAUUAAUGUUCCUAAGCCGUUGCCGGCUUUUUACAAUUGAUUUCAGGUGGAGGAGGCUUUCCUGAGUGCUUCAAAGUUGGCAGUUGGUGCUUCAAUUUCGUACAGCCAGGUCACUCGCACAUCCUCAUAAAUGCCACAGCCGAAGAAGACGUGUUCAACGUCAAGGCUUUCGGACUCACAAGAGGCGAGUCUUUUUGUCCAAACCCAUGCAAUUUUUCAGCAAAAUCCCCAUGGCCGGUAAGCAGUUGCGACACAAAAUGGUCAACUUCUAAGAAGUCUCACUUAACACGGUCCGCUAACAUGGGGAAAAUGCGGUAUGUGUGUCUCCCUUUACUAGAGAGAUCUCUGUUGCCAUAGUUGGAGUGCCCAUGGGUGACCGAAGUAACUGGCAUUCCGGGUGUUCUGUCAUUUUCUAAGUCCCACUUCGCAAGGAUGUUUAGAGGCAAUUGCCAGCAAUCACAUGCAACGCUUCUGUCGACACGGUUUUAUAUGCCCUCGUGACUGCAAGGAGGGCCACACGCUGCGCCCGUUCUAGUUGUCGCCAGUCCGCCUCUCUCAAACAGCUCACCCAUGUUGGCGCCGCGUAGAGAAGGAUGGACUAGCAUAACGCGGAGUAGUAUAUUUGCCUAUUUUCAUAAGACGCACCUCAGGACGGACCACUACAGAUUUGAAAAGAACAGUACGCUGGAGGACCUUCUGCGAAGCCGCUGUUGCGUUGGGACUGAAUUAAGCUCCUUUCGCCAUCAUGUCACCAAGGUGUGACCUCUGACGGUGCUUUGAUGUUAACACCAUCUAUCUGUAUCACGGGUGGAGACCGCAUGUUAAAUUGACCCUUUAAUAAGAUCGUGUCUGUUUUUUCUGCCGCUAGCUCAAGCUUGACUGACCUGCACCAACUCUGUACACUGACAGCACCAACACCGCUCUAACUCGACGUUCCAGCUCAGCUUUGGUAUUACCGGGUAAGUCAACCAUCAGGUCAUCCACAUAGGCUAUGGCACGGAUGUUUUUGUGAUCCAAGAUCUUCAAGAGGUCAUCGAACAGGACUCCCACUGGAACGGGCCAAGAAUGAUCCCCUGUGGUUCUCCCAUCCGGACCUCCCUGAAGCAGCCCUCACUGUGAUUCUCGAGGAAUCCUUUUGCAUAUCCUUAUUAAUUUGGAAAUAUAAGUACUACAGUGGGCUUUUCUUCACUUCUCGGGCAAUUGUAUCAUAUGAAUAAAAAAUUUUAAAAAAAGCCAUCAGUGCAGUAAAGGUAAAAAAAAAUUAGGACUGACAGUUGUUACUACAGCCCCAAACGUCCUGAAGAGCCAGGACUUUGCCUACAACCUUGGUAUAAUGUAUUAUACCACAAAUACAUUACCAAAUCAGAAAAACAAACCAUAGUGUAAUUGUCAUAUUUGUAUAUAAUUGUGAUUUUAUUGUAAUUCAAUAUAUUAUACAUAUUUUUAUGAAAAU